AAGAGAGAGUUCAUUAGUACGUGAAACCGUUCAGGGGUAAACCUGCGAAACCCAAAAGAUGGAAUGGGGAGAUUCAUCGUCAGCCGCUUUGGCUUCCGUGUGGUUCGCGAUGAUCGGGGCCUCGGCUCCGUGUCACGCAAUCGCUGCGGUCAUGUCCGAAGUGGCCGGCGUGCACUUCUCCCCUAGUAGGACGUCGCGAUUCGUUGGGUGUCGGUUUACGGAACCGCGAGGGAGCCUGGCGCGUCGCGUUCACGCGCGCUCGUGUCAGACCUCUGGUUUCCCAACCGGCUGCCCGGCGAUAUGGAACGAUAAUCAAUGGUAUUGGGCCGCAUUGAAUGCGUUCAGGCCCGUCGGCAGGUUCGCCUCGCUCGGAUUUACGAACCUGGUUUCGUUGCCGGGUGCUUGGCGGGCCGUUCGCCGACGGUGUCCUCGGACUGGCUCCAAAUAUCUUACGAAUAUACCGAUCGGCGACGCUACUGCUUUGGGUACUUUCAGGACCCGUCUUGAAACACGGACCAAGGAGUCUAACAUGUGCGCGAGUCAUUGAGUCAAUCUAAGCUUAAAGGCGUAAUGAAAGUAAAGGUCGUCCCUAGCGUCGACCGAGGGAGGAUGGCCGACGUUACGAUGUCGGCUCGCACUCCCGGGGCAUCUCGUGUCAUGCGAA
rnacentral:rRNA from 1 species